rnacentral:misc_RNA from 1 species
GUGAAAAAAGAAUAACAGGAGAAAAAAAGGAAAAAACAAGAAAAAGAAAACGACUUUCCUCCAUUUUUGUACUCCUCUCUUUCAUAUUACAUGUGUUUGUUGAAUUUAAAGGUGGCGAACCGGAAAGACUCAGGCGACUACAUCAGGUGCCCUGCUACUACAGAUAGCGGCGAUGAUGAUCAUGAUGAGAUAUACCCACAAUCGGUGUUAAAUCAGCCAGGACAAGUCGACACACAGUCGCCAACUGUGUUUCCUGGAUAUGAUAGUAGUACAAGGGAGAUGACUACAAUGGUUUCAGCUCUUUCUCAUGUGGUAUCAGGCCAAAGAGCUGGUGAUUGGGGAUAUGGGGCUGGUUUAGGAAGUGCAAUAACAUCUAGUUAUGGUAGUAUUGGACUUGGUUCUGCUUCUUCUUCUGCAUAUUCUCCUGGUGUUUAUUCAUCAUCUUCUUCUUCUCCUUCUCCUCCCUUGUCUGCUUAUUCCUCUACUUCUGGUUCUGGUUUCUGGAUUGGACAAAAGAGAGGGCGUGAAGAACAAGGUGCAACUCAAUUGAUCGAGUCUAUGCCAAGGGUUUAUAGAGCGUUCGGUGAUUUCAGAAGUUCUCAAGGAGAUUCAUCUUCAUCUGGUGCAACUGUAAAAGAAGAGGCAGCUGCUUCAAUUAUAGUCCCCACCCCAACUACCGCUACCACCUCUGCUACAGCACCAGUGACGUCGUCAACCGAAACAGUAUCCUUUGAAGAAACGGGCGAGCGGAGAAGAAGAUACAGAGGAGUUAGACAAAGGCCUUGGGGAAAAUGGGCAGCUGAAAUACGUGAUCCACAUAAAGCAGCAAGAGUCUGGCUUGGCACAUUCGACACCGCAGAGGCCGCCGCCAGAGCCUACGACGAAGCUGCUUUAAGAUUUAGAGGAAACAGAGCUAAACUAAACUUCCCCGAACAUGUCAGAAUACUGCCACCUCCAAUGCAAACUGUUCCCGUAUCCCAAAUCCCCAUUGGUCGUCAACCACCAUCUCAGUUACAGUCAAUGUCAUCUCAACCACCACAAGAGCUGCCGCAGGCGGCCCUGCACCCGCAAUUCUUUCAGUCUCAAGCUGAUACGAUGAGAGAUUACUUGGUGUACUCCCAGCUGUUACAGAGCACUGGGGACAUGCAUGGAACUCAACCAUCGAGUUUGCUAGAGCAGAUGUUUUAUAAUCAGCAAUUGGCUUCUCUACAAUCAAGUUUUCCACUGUCUUCUUCUCUAUCUUCUUUGUCUUCAUUAUCUUCCUCCAUUUCAGCUCCUUCAAUUGCAGCGUUUUCUUCUGGGUCAUUAUCAUCAUCAUCUUCAUCCUCUGCUUCACUUCCUCUGCUUUUGGCUGGUCAACAAUUAGGUUUUUUCCAUCCCCCUCCAAGUCAGAAUUCGCCCACUGGUUCAGAUUUUCCGGUGCCUCCAUGGUCAGAUUCUAGUCACUACCCUUCCUCUACUGGUUAAAAUUUUUAAGUGGAGCAUUUCAGACUCGAAGCCUGGAUUAGCAUGUGAGUGAUAUAAUCAUUAAAUUAAAACAGACUAGGCUGUUAAAAUUGGUUAUACAUUUGUUUUUUUUCAGUUUUUUCCUAUUUUGAAAUUUUAAAAUAUUUUUUCUGUCUUUAUUUUUACAAUUUUCCACCCUGUAUUUGCAUGUAGCAUUGGGCUAUUUCUAUCAAAAUUCUGCCCUUUUUCUUUCUUAAACAUUGUUGGUA